rnacentral:lncRNA from 1 species
AUUCCAAGGGGGCGGUAUAAUGUCUUUUAUCUUUUUGUCUCUCCUAUGUGAUCCAAUGUGCUAAGUGAAUUACAUGUCUACUUUGCUUUCCUAGUUUUUCUUUAAUUCCUUUUACUCAUGUCAUUUACUUUUUGUUUUCAUUAAGUUAUUCUUUUAAUGGGGUAUGUGUACACCUCUUGGCUUGUAAUAGAUAGGGCUUUGGCGAGCAAUUUGGUCCAUUUUCCCUUUCCCCCUUUUGUUUUAGUUAGUGAAUGUAAUAGAUAGGGCUUGGAGGAGCAUUCAAUGAACACCUAUCGAAGACGUGUGCCUAGCUAGCAAAUGUAAUAGUUAGGGGUUUAAUUGUCUUAUGUGUCUUGCAUGCUUAGUUGCUACGUGUUAAUUUGCUUUGUUAGGACCUUGCAUCUAGUCGAGCAUGCUAAGUGUUAUGUGCUAUGUGUUUAUGAGUGUUUGGCAU